rnacentral:rRNA from 1 species
CCUACGGGUGGCAGCAGUGGGGAAUAUUGGACAAUGGGCGAAAGCCUGAUCCAGCCAUGCCGCGUGUGUGAAGAAGGCCUUCGGGUUGUAAAGCACUUUCAGUGGGGAAGAAAGCCUUGGGGCUAAUACCCUCGAGGAAGGACAUCACCCACAGAAGAAGCACCGGCUAACUCCGUGCCAGCAGCCGCGGUAAUACGGAGGGUGCGAGCGUUAAUCGGAAUUACUGGGCGUAAAGCGCGCGUAGGCGGUCUGAUAAGCCGGUUGUGAAAGCCCCGGGCUCAACCUGGGAACGGCAUCCGGAACUGUCAGGCUAGAGUGCAGGAGAGGAAGGUAGAAUUCCCGGUGUAGCGGUGAAAUGCGUAGAGAUCGGGAGGAAUACCAGUGGCGAAGGCGGCCUUCUGGACUGACACUGACGCUGAGGUGCGAAAGCGUGGGUAGCAAACAGGAUUUGAUACCCGGGUAGUC